rnacentral:rRNA from 1 species
GUCGAGGAUCUUUAGCAAUGCCCGAAAGGGUGACUAUGCGACGCCGCGUGCAGGACGAAGGCCUUCGGGUUGUAAACUGCUGUCAGGGGGGAAGAAACCCCGCUAUUUAAAAGAUGGUGGGCUGACAUCACCCCCAAAGGAAGCCACGGCUAACUCUGUGCCAGCAGCCGCGGUAAGACAGAGGUGGCAAGCGUUGUUCGGAUUCAUUGGGUGUAAAGGGUCCGUAGGUGGCCCGUUAAGUCCGGCGUGAAAUCCCAGAGCUCAACUCUGGAACUGCGCUGGAAACUAUCGGGCUUGAGUGCCGGAGAGGUGAAGGGAAUUCCCGGUGUAAGGGUGAAAUCUGUAGAUAUCGGGAGGAACACCAGUGGCGAAAGCGCUUCACUGGCCGGUUACUGACACUGAGGGACGAAAGCAAGGGGAGCAAACAGGAUUAGAUACCCGAGUAGUCC